GAUGAACGCUGGCGGCGUGCCUAAUACAUGCAAGUCGAGCGAACGGACGAGAAGCUUGCUUCUCUGAUGUUAGCGGCGCACGGGUGAGUAACACGUGGAUAACCUACCUAUAAAACUGGGAUAACUUCGGGAAACCGGAGCUAAUCCCGGAUAAUAUUUUGAACCGCAUGGUUCAAAAGUGAAAGACGGUCUUGCUGUCACUUAUAGAUGGAUCCGCGCUGCAUUAGCUAGUUGGUAAGGUAACGGCUUACCAAGGCAACGAUGCAUAGCCGACCUGAGAGGGUGAUCGGCCCGACUGGAACUGAGACACGGUCCAGACUCCUACGGGAGGCAGCAGUAGGGAAUGGUCCGCAAUGGGCGAAAGCCUGACGGAGCAACGCCGCGUGAGGGAUGAAGGUCCUCGGAUCGUAUAACUCUGUUAUGAGGGAAGAACAGAUGUGUAAGUAACUGUGCACAUCGUGACGGUACCUAAUCAGAAAGCCACGGCUAACUACGUG
rnacentral:rRNA from 1 species